GUUUUAUGAUGAGAUUUUAUCCAGUUCUGCUUCUGAAAAGGAUGACAGACAAUAUUACCAACUCUGAACA